GAGCAGAAUCAAGGCACCUGCACCAUGGCCUGGACCCCUCUCCUCCUUGUUUUCCUUGCUCACUGCACAGACUCCAUGGCCUCAUAUGUGCUGACUCAACCACCCUCAAUAUCAGUGAACCUGGGACAGACGGCCAAGAUCACAUGUAGGGGAAACAACAUUGGAAGUAAAAGUGUUUACUGGUACCAGCAGAAGCUGGGCCAGUCCCCCAUAUUGAUUAUCUAUAGGAAUAGCAACCGACCCUCAGGGACCCUUGAACGGUUCUCAGGCACCAACUCAGGGAACACAGCCACCCUGACCAUCAGCGGGGCCCGUGCUGAGGACGAGGAUGACUAUUACUGUAAGGUGUGGGACAACAGUGCUGAUGAUGUUGUGUCACUAGGGGGAACUCUGAUAAGGUAG